UCAGAAGAACCUCGUAACAACAUC
rnacentral:siRNA from 1 species